CCCCUGCACUGAGGGAUUUUAAAAGGUGCAAAGCAGCGAGCCGUCCAGUGACUCUUCACAAGAAAAUGAAAACUGCUGGGGGUAGUUAUGGACAAUAUGGGGCAGCUGGUCUUAAUUCCAUUCCUGGCAUAGACCUGAGAACCCACGUUCGUUUUGUGUGUUGUUACACGGGAGAACUCCUGUGCUCUCCGAACACUUUAAGCUGGAAAAAAAAAAAAAAUGAGAUUCUUUCGUCAGAUUGGUUUUGUUAAAUGUUUUAAAAAUUUGGUGAGCUUAUUUUUAACUUGACGAUUUGGUUGGCUUUCGGAAAGUUAGGUAUGUCUUUCAGGAAGAAGCCCUGCAUUGGAAUCGUUUUCUUUUUGAACAGUCCGCUGUUUAACGGUGGAGCUUACAAAGGAUCAUAGAUAAUUUCUUUCUUCCCCUCACAGAAAUACAUGCUCAAAAGUGAGGGUUUUAAAGGCAAAUGAAGGCAAACCGAGGAACCUUUUCAGUACACGUAUUGCCAUGUCAUUGUGCCAUCUUCUGGAGCAGAGGCUACAGGGAGACUGGUGUCGCUGCAACUCACAUGUCCCAGCAAGCUGCUGCUUACGACUCCUUUGCUUUGCUUCCCAGAGCUGCGUGCAUGCACUCAGGGCCUCUCUUGUGCCCAAAGAACUCUGUUGCAGCCAAGCUGUAGGAACUGUCCAGUCAUCAGAGGGAAGACGUCUCCGUUUCUACAUAAAUGCUACCUGCGCAUGUCAGGUCAUUGUGUUCCGGCACAGUCUUUGGGAGCUGACACCGACACUUGAGCAGAUCUGCGUCUUCUGGUUUUUGUGGGAUCAGCGAUAGCAUGUGACUCCUCUAGUAGAGGACUAAGAUUUCCCUGGUUUUCCACUGCACCCAAUGGUGACCUGCUGACUUUGGGUAUCUCUCACGUUAAGACGGCAGAGGCAGCUGCACCAAAUCUCCUCUCAUCAUUAUCCCAGAUGGAUGAGAGCUCUUCCCAGCUGCUGGUGUUCUGUCACUUUCUUUGGUGUGGGCUGUCCUGGAAGGUGUGUGAACUUCGAUGGGGUCACUCUCUGAAGCUGAGGCUGACCCUGAAGAGGCUGACAGAGGCUGUCUGUUCACUGUGCUGCCCACACCUGGCCAGCAAGUUCCACCUUGAAGAAGCAUCUUGACAUCAGAUAGCCUGCCAUACGUCGUGUCUAGACAAGAUUGGAAAAAAUGAGAUCGGUUACCUCCGGGCAUCCUCUGAUCUCACCAGAGUGAUCGGUUACCUCCGGGCAUCCUCUGAUCUCACCAGAGUAAGAACUCCAUUCACUACAUAAGUGUCUCAUGUGCUACCAGAUGUGUAGAAAGCCGAAAGCACCAAGUGGCACCGGUCAUUGCCGUGAGCUGCUUGGAAAGUCAACUCUGAGAUGGAGAUGAGCAUCCAGGAGUUUGUUGGGGCGUGUUCUUGGGACCACCCACUCUGGGAGGGGAGCGAGGAAGGUGGCCUGGGCAGAAGGAGAAGCUGGCCUGUGAGGAGGGCCUCAACACAAGCCAACCCAAGCUCCCGUGGGGAGCCUCGAAGCCGGGCCAGGUCUUUCUACCUCUCCGUAAACAAGUCAUUGAACCUGGGCACCCUGGGAAGAGGAUGUGGCCAUGUUGAGAUGCCACUUUUCAUCUGAAGCAAGUCUGAGGAGGGCUGAUGGCUGGGGCUUUCUCCGGAAGCCCUCCUGGAAGCUUCAGGAAUAAUCCUGAUGGGUCUCUGAGGGGUACCUCACAGCAUCCCCACUGGAAGCGGACUGAGCCUGUCCCGGCUAACUUAGGCCACUGGUACCGUUGCCGCUGCUGCUGCCACCCCUGCUGUUACUUAAAGAAUCCUGAACAAAUGCUGAAAAGAGGUCACGCCUGAGACAGCAGCUAUACACGCGGCUGUCCCUGAGCAAAUCAGGAGGCAGCCACCUUGUCUGUAGCAGAGUUCAAGGCAUGAUUUCCAGGAGAAAGGACGACUUAACAUUUACCAGCCUUGAAAGGAUAGAGAGGUUCUGUCAUCUACAGUGGAGCUACAGAUGGCAGAAAAGAUCAAAGGAUGAUGAGGACUCUCAGGAGAAGCUGAUAAGGGAGACGGUUCUGGGACUCUUAGAUGUUGUAGACCUGGUAUUUCUGCUGUUGACAAGGUGCCUUGUGCAACCCUCAUGGACAGAUAAGUACAAUUUGAAACUUGUUAAAAUUUUAUACUCAAGUGUGCUAAUUAAUGAGUUCAUGACAAUCUGGAUGGGUUUUUGGUGGCAUGCUCUGAUCUGUUCCACAGUUUCACCAGCUUAUUAAGUUCUCAGAUGACGAAGAUCUAGUUUCCAGAUGAUAGAGAUCUAGGUGGGAUGGAAAACAUGGCAGAUGGCAGAUGACGAAAAGAUCUCGACAAGUUAAAGUGAUGGACUGCAUCUAAUAGGACAAAAUGCAGUAGUAAUAAAAACAAUAUUCUGCAUCAGAGUUUCAUUUCUAAUUGGACAAAUACAGAAAGAAAAUGUGAUGCUUAGUAGCAGUUCAGGCACAGGGAAAGGCAAUGCAUCAUGAGUUAAUGAGGCCGCCGGAGGGAUUCAUGAGUGUGUAUCAACAGAAGUAUAGUAUCUAAAACAAGGCAGAGACUGGGACUGCCCUGGUGUGCUUUUUGUGCUUCAGUGUGUGCAGACAAGGGACAUAGGCAAACUGGGCCAUGUGGCUAAACUAGAGGUGCUUCGUCAUAGGAUAAGCUGACACAUGCAUUAAGAGCUAUCGAA